UACGAAGGGGACUAGCGUUGUUCGGAAUCACUGGGCGUAAAGCGCACGUAGGCGGAUUUGUAAGUCAGGGGUGAAAUCCCGGGGCUCAACCUCGGAACUGCCUUUGAUACUGGGUGUCUAGAGUAUGGAAGAGGUGAGUGGAAUUCCGAGUGUAGAGGUGAAAUUCGUAGAUAUUCGGAGGAACACCAGUGGCGAAGGCGGCUCACUGGUCCAUUACUGACGCUGAGGUGCGAAAGCGUGGGGGAGCAAACAGG
rnacentral:rRNA from 1 species